rnacentral:rRNA from 1 species
GAUGAACGCUGGCGGCGUGCCUAAUACAUGCAAGUCGAGCGAACAGACGAGGAGCUUGCUCCUCUGACGUUAGCGGCGGACGGGUGAGUAACACGUGGAUAACCUACCUAUAAGACUGGGAUAACUUCGGGAAACCGGAGCUAAUACCGACAAAUAUAUUGCACCGCAUGGUUCAGUAGUAAAAGACGGUUUUGCUGUCACUUAUAGAUAGCUCCGCGCCGCAUUAGCUAGUAGGUAAGGUAACUGAUUACCAAGGCAACCAUCCUUAGCCCACCUGAGAGAGUGAUUGGCCACAGUGCAACUGAGAAACGCACCAGACUCCUACGGGAGGCAGCCAUAGGGCAUCUUUCACAAUGCGCGAAAGCCUGACGGAGCAACGCCGCGUGAGUGAUCAAGGUCUUCGGAUCGUAAACCUCUGUUAUUAGAGAAGAACAAAUGUGUAAGUACAUAUACACGUCUUGACCGUACCUAAUCAGAAAGCCACGGCUAACUACGUG